rnacentral:rRNA from 1 species
UACGGAGGAGGCAAGCGUUAUCCGGAAUUAUUGGGCGUAAAGCGUCCGCAGGUGGCACUUCAAGUCUGUCGUCAAAGACUGGGGCUUAACCCUGGAAAGGCGGUGGAAACUGAAGCGCUAGAGUGUGGUAGGGGUAGAGGGAACGAGCAGUGUAGCGGUGAAAUGCGUAGAUAUUGCUCGGAAGGCCGGAGCCGAAGGGGCCCUACUGGUACGUAACUGACGCUGAGGCACGAAAGCGUGGGGAGCAAACAGG